CCUACGGGAGGCAGCAGUGGGGAAUCUUGCGCAAUGGGCGAAAGCCUGACGCAGCAACGCCGCGUGCGGGAUGAAGGCCUUCGGGUUGUAAACCGCUUUUAACAGGAACGAAAAUGACGGUACCUGUAGAAUAAGGUGCGGCCAACUACGUGCCAGCAGCCGCGGUGACACGUAGGCACCAAGCGUUGUCCGGAUUUAUUGGGCGUAAAGAGCUCGUAGGCGGUUCGAUAAGUCGGGUGUGAAAACUCUGGGCUUAACCCAGAGACGCCACUCGAUACUAUUGUGACUAGAGUUCGGUAGGGGAGCGGGGAAUUCCUAGUGUAGCGGUGAAAUGCGCAGAUAUUAGGAGGAACACCGGUGGCGAAGGCGCCGCUCUGGGCCGAAACUGACGCUGAGGAGCGAAAGCGUGGGUAGCAAACAGGAUUAGAUACCCUGGUAGUCCACGCCGUAAACGGUGGGCACUAGGUGUGGGCUCCAACCAACGGAGUCCGCGCCGUCGCUAACGCAUUAAGUGCCCCGCCUGGGGAGUACGGCCGCAAGGUUAAAACCUAAAUGAAUUGACGG
rnacentral:rRNA from 1 species